GGGGCUGAUUCUGGAUUCGACGGGAUUUGCGAAGCCCAAGGAGCAUGCCGAGGGGCGGUUGGCCUCGUAAAAAGCCGCAAAAAAAUAGUCGCAAACGACGAAAACUACGCACUAGCAGCUUAAUACCCUGCUCAGAGCCCUCUCUCCCUAGCCUCCGCUCUUAGGACGGGGAUCAAGAGAGGUCAAACCUAAAAGAGAUCGCGUGGACACCUUGCCUGGGGUGAAAGCGUUAAACCCAAUCAGGAUAGUUUGUUAGUGGCGUGUCUGUCCGCAGCUAACCGGCGAAUGUAAAGACUAGACUAAGCAUGUAGUGCCGACGGUGUAGUAAUUUCGGACGGGGGUUCAAAUCCCCCCAGCUCCACCA
rnacentral:tmRNA from 1 species